UACGUAGGGUGCGAGCGUUGUCCGGAAUUAUUGGGCGUAAAGAGCGUGUAGGCGGCCCGGUAAGUCCGCUGUAAAAGUCAAAGGCUCAACCUUUGAAUGUCAGUGGAUACUGCCGGGCUAGAGUCCGGAAGAGGCGAGUGGAACUCCUGGUGUAGCGGUGGAAUGCGCAGAUAUCAGGAAGAACACCAACGGCGAAGGCAGCUCGCUGGGACGGUACUGACGCUGGAGACGCGAAAGCGUGGGGAGCGAACAGG
rnacentral:rRNA from 1 species